GAUGAACGCUGGCGGCGUGCCUAAUACAUGCAAGUCGAGCGAACAGAUGAGGAUCUUGCUCCUCUGACGUUAGCGGCGGACGUGUGAGUAACACGUGUAUAACCUACCUAUAAGACUGGUAUAACUUCGGGAAACCGGCGCUUAUACCGGAUAAUAUAUUGAACCGCAUGGUUCAAUAGUGAAAUACGGUUUUGCUGUCACUUAUAGAUGGAUCCGCGCCGCAUUAGCUAGUUGGUAAGGUAACGGCUUACCAAGGCAACCAUGCGUAACCGACCUGAGAGGGGGAUAGGCCACACUGGAACGGAGACACGGACCAGAGGCCUACGGGAGGCAGCAGUAGGGAAUGGUCCGCAAUGGGGGAGAGCCUGACGGAGCGACGCGGCGUGAGUGAUGAAGGUCUUGGGAGCGUAAAACUCUGUUAUUAGGGAAGAACAAAUGUGUAAGUAAAUAUGCACGUCUUGACGGUACCUAAUCAGAAAGCCACGGCUAACUACGUG
rnacentral:rRNA from 1 species